rnacentral:misc_RNA from 1 species
GUUCGGGCUCGCAAAUAACCACGUGUCAUCGGAUGAGAAGAGAUGGCAGAAUCUGACUAUCUGAGACUCAAUGUUCUGUGGAUUUGGGAUAAGAGAGUUCCCAAAAUCCAUUGGCUGAGGUGCUCUCACUCCACUGCUGCCAUCAAACCAGUGGGGCUUUCUUCGCUCAAAUCUUUCUUUGGAUGCAAAUGGAUAUUCAAGCUCAUCUCUCUUAUAGCUUAUCUUCCUCGAUGAUAACAAAAUUUUCAUUUCCUUCCUUUUCUAGCUACUAUCCUCUCAGACCUUUCUGCUCGCGAAAGAAGUCCCGGGAGUCCAGUCAAAACGGCGACGACAAUGGUACGCCUUCAAUCACUAGCCAACUUGUUAAAUGGGUAGCAUUAGAUUUUGCCCUGUUAUUUCCUCACUCUGUGGCCUGUGAUGGGAGAAUGCUAACCAGCACUUGCUGGGCUUCCUAAUUCUUAUAUGCCUUCAAGCAGACUCAAUUACAAGUUUGAACUUUGAGAUUUAGGUCGGUGAUUUUGUGAUGAAUUUAACUUCGUAUAGCCCUUGGUGCGUGGAGUAGUAUUGAGAACCCAGUAAAUACCCCAUUGUUCAGCCUUCAUGAAGUAGCUACUCCAUAUAGUGUAUGAAUCCAUCCAUCCAAUCACCUUGAUGAUCACGCAAAAUUCCUCAAGCAACUGCUCUCUGAGAUGGUCUUCAGAAGCACCAUUGAAAUUUGUUUUAACCCAUCCUAUGAGCUUUUGUUGUUUAUUAUUAUGCAGACCGGUGAAAUAUCCCACCUGUUCAAAAGCCUCAAAAUUGGACCUUGUGAAGGUUGCUAUACGAUGAAUUAUAGAAUUAGCACUUUUUCACUCGCGUUUCAAGACAAAAUCAUUGCAUCAUUUCCAACUCAUCCAUAAACCAACUCCAAAAGCUGAUUCCAAGGAAGAUUUUCUUUGCUUCUCCAAUUCGCUUUUAUAUUAGCAAUAUUCAACUGUUGGAAAUUGAGAGAGACAAACCAAUGAUGUUUACCUUAAACUUACCUUGAUUAGAAUCAAUUUGAACAAAUCUACAACCUUUUCUUCAGGGUUAGUGAUUAAAAGUAGGCAUCCAGCUUUCUAUUAGGUACCCCUUAAACUCCCUUGCUCAAAGUCUAAUUUGCACACAGAUAUUGUCCUCUCUAGUCUCUUCAUAUAGGGUAGUUAUGAAACCACCAACUCUUAAUCUCAAUUAAAUUUUCUCCAACAUAUAUAUAGCUUAUUGUAAGGUUUUUAGCCUUGAAAUUGGCGCAUACCUGGAGGCUUAUCUUUAAAUUACGUAUACUAAAGCAGACACUGGCAUGGAAAGGAAGUAUAAAAAGGUGGGGAGGGACGAUAGAUCAAGCUUGCACGUGGGCAACAAUGAUAAAAUCUGUAGCAACCAAGUCCUAGAUAAUCUGGAGGCUGGACUUCUAUUCUUUGGGAAAGGCUCUUAUAUAGGCUAAUGAAGACCCAUAAUCCAUAGGAUACAUGUAAGACUGAAGCGUUGAUUUAUGCUUUUUAAUUUGGUUUUGAUCAAUAUAGCUGAUGGAUAUUUAUGAAACAGUUGAUUAGGUCACGCUUUCUUAAACAUCAUAUUACAAACCUUGAACCUCACAUAGUUGUCAUGCAAACCACAAUGUCCCACUCCCACAAGAUGCUGAAAUCUUUUCCACCAGGGCUACAUUAUAUUUCUGCACUAAUUCUUUGAUUUGUUGUUUUUCUUUUGCCAGACUUAUAUUGGCAUUUCAGGCCAACUAAAAAGCAUUUUAUUAGAUUGAAGAAGCUUGAAAAAGGCUACCAGAAUUUCUUUCACAUAUUUACUAAGGCCUAUAUGUGUUGUUGAAUAAAAUGAAAUAAAUCUGUGCAUAUGCAUACUUCAUCUAUAUGAGUACAAAUUUCUGAUAACUAACAUUUUGCCUGCAUUGCUGCCUGAAUAGAAAAUCUCAUGCCAAUAUUGUUUGAUGUACUUGCCACAGGUGACAAAUCCUCAACAGACUGGGAUAAGGCCUGGUCAAACUUCAGGAAACAGGGGAAGAAAACCCUCCUCUCUCAGUUCUUUCCAAACAAGUAUGUGAGUUGGAAUCCUAGGCGCUCAAACUACCCACUAUCUGAAGAGGUUGAUCCUAUCAAGAGGACGGAGAGGUCGAACCUCAUGUUAUGGACGAGUCCAAGGUUUACUCUAGUGGGGGCUAUUGUAAUAGUCACAUUUCUUUUGGUCUACACCAUUCUUUAUCCAAUUAAAUGAUUCAACUAAGUUCUGUUACCGUCCAAGAAAGUAGACCCUAUGCUGUAAAAGUAUGAUGAAGUAUAUAAGGAAAUGGGCAUAGGAUAGUGAAUU